GUCUUGCCAGGUUAGGGACUGAGUUCAAAAGGCCAAGAAUUCCCUGUAGAUCUUUCUCAGGUCAGUUUCCUUUCCCAGAAUCCUUUGCUUUCCAACUGAUGCUUUUCUCUCUUUCAAUCCUGAUGACAAGGUUCCAAAAAUCUUCUCUCAUGCACUCAUCAUUACACAAGGAAGAACCUGCCCAAAGAAAUCUUCCAGGUAAGCAUGGUGUCAGAUUAGAUGCAGCUCACUUCCCCUUCUCAGACCCAACGAUACAGAUGACCUCAAAAGACCCCAAAAAACCAUCCUCAUAAGAACAAAGGGAAUCUACAGCAGGGAGCAGCACUGAAGGAUGAACAAUACAUUAUUAUGAUCUGAGGAAGUAGGACUCCAUCUAUCUAAAAAAGAAGAGGAAUACUGGAUAAAGUUGUCAACGAGGAACAAUACAGAGGUAGGAUUAUCUACUCCUUGUUAGGCUGAAACAAUUUACCUUUCUGUAGCACAUUAAGUUUUUUUUUUAAUAUAUUUUAUUUUAUCAUUUCCAAGCAUUAUUCGUUAAAGACAUAGAUCAUUUUCUUUUUCUCCCCCCCACCCCCAUAGCCGACGUGUAAAUCCACUGGGCAUUACAUGUUUUCUUGAUUUGAACCCAUUGCUUUGUUGAUAAUAUUUGCAUUAGAGUGUUCAUUUCGAGUCUCUCCUCUGUCAUGUCCCCUCAACUGCUGUAUUCAGGCAGUUGCUUUUCCUCGGUGUUUCCACUCCCCCAUAGUUUAUCCUUUGCUUAUGAAUAGUGUUUUUUUCUCCUGGAUCCCUGCAAAUUGUUCAGGGACAUUACACUGCCACUAAUGGAGAAGUCCAUUACGUUCGAUUAUACCACAGUGUAUUAGUCUCUGUGUACAAUGUUCUCCUGGUUCUGCUCCUCUUGCUCUGCAUCACUUCCUGGAGGUUGUUCCAGUCUCCAUGGAACUCCUCCACUUUAUUAUUCCUUUUAGCACAAUAGUAUUCCCUCACCAACAUAUACCACAAUUUGCUCAGCCAUUCCCCAAUUGAUGGGCAUCCCGCACAUUAAGUUUUAUAGGAAGUAUUCCUCACAAUAGCUCCAUGUUGUGGGAUGUCCAAGAAUUACUAUUCCCUCACAGAGAAGUUGGAAUUAAGAUUCAGAAAGGCUAAUUAAAGUAAUCCAAGUCACACAUCUAUUUCUUUGAAAUGCAGACACUAAUCAGGACUCAGAGUCCAAUUCUAUCUUUAGUUCCCAUGUGUACUAGCCCUGGAAUUAGGAAGACCUGAGUUCAACUCCAGUCUCAGAUACUUAAUAGCUCUAUGGCUCUACCUAAGUCACUUAAACUCUAUCAGUCUCAGUUUCUUUAUCUGUAAAAUGAAAAUAAUAAUAACAUCUACAUAGGAUUAAAGUGAAGCUAAAGGGAAAAAAAAUAAAUGUAAA
rnacentral:lncRNA from 1 species